rnacentral:rRNA from 1 species
AUUGAACGCUGGCGGUAGGCCUAACACAUGCAAGUCGAACGAGUGGCGGACGGGUGAGUAAUGAAUGGGAAACUGCCUGAGGGAGGGGGAUAACUAACGGAAACGGUAGCUACUACCGCAUACAAUCAGAUGUGCCCAGAUGGGAUGAGCUAGUUGGUGGGGUAACGGCGCACCAAGGGGACGAUCCCUAGCUGGUCUGAGAGGAUGCCCAGCCACACUGGAACUGCGACACGGUCCAGACUCCUACGGGAGGCAGCAGUGGGGAAUAUUUCACAAUGGGCGCAAGCCUGAUGCAGCCAUGCCGCGUGUAUGAAGAAGGCCUUCGGGUUGUAAAGUACUUUCAGCGGGGAGGCGUUACCCGCAGAAGAAGCACCGGCUAACUCCGUGCCAGCAGCCGCGGUAAUAC